rnacentral:rRNA from 1 species
CCUAGGGGAGGCAGCAGUAGGGAAUAUUGGGCAAUGGGCGCAAGCCUGACCCAGCAAUGCCGCGUGUGUGAAGAAGGCCUUCGGGUUGUAAAGCACUUUUGUCCGGAAAGAAAUCCUUGGCUCUAAUACAGUCGGGGGACGACGGUACCGGAAGAAUAAGCACCGGCUAACUACGUGCCAGCAGCCGCGG